rnacentral:rRNA from 1 species
GAUGAACGCUGGCGGCGUGCUUAACACAUGCAAGUCGAACGCACAGGUUUCUGACUUCAGUCUUACACGUGUGGGGCAGGGGUGUGUAUAACACGGGGGUACCGUCCCUCUCUUCGGGGGAAGACUUGGAGAAACGGUCUCAUACACGGUAGGAACUCUUUAAGGGCGAUGUUGUGGAAUGUGUGACGGUUUGGGAUUGGCUUGCGGCCUAUUCGCUUGCUCGUGGGGUAGUGGCAUACGAAAGCGUUGACGGCUAGCCGGCCUGGGAGGGUGUACGGGGACAUUGGGACUGAGAUACGGCGCAGACGCCUACGGGAGGCAGCAGUGGGGAGUAUUGCACAAUGGGCGCGAGCCUGAUGCGGCGACGCCGCGUGGGGGAUGACGGCCUUCGGGUUGUGAACUCCUUUCGCUAGAGACGAAGCGCAAGUGACGGUACCUGGAGAAGAAGCACCGGCUAACUACGUG